rnacentral:rRNA from 1 species
CCUACGGGAGGCAGCAGUGAGGAAUAUUGGUCAAUGGGCGCGAGCCUGAACCAGCCAAGUCGCGUGAAGGAUGAAGGUUCUAUGGAUUGUAAACUUCUUUUAUGGGGGAAUAAAGUUCGGGACGUGUCCCGUUUUGUAUGUACCUCAUGAAUAAGCAUCGGCUAACUACGUGCCAGCAGCCGCGGUAAUAAGG